CACAGCUGCUCCUGCCACACUGAGAGGUUGAACUUCCUUUGAGGUUUGUGUUUGGGGCCAUCACACUGUGCAGGGUCCCUGUCAGUGUCCUGUUCACAGAAGGCUGUGCAGCAUCUCCAGGCUCCAAAGUGGUGUUUGUGAUGGUGAAAUCCCGAGAAUUUUGAAUAACCAAGUGCUGGGAAUUGGAAGCGGUUCGACAAUUGUCCACGCUGUGCAGCGAAUAGCGGAAAGGGUGAAGCAAGAGAAUCUGAACCUCGUCUGUAUUCCCACUUCCUUCCAGGUAUGUCCUGCUUUCCAUCUGCAUCGUGACAGCUUCUGCUGUAUCUUCCGGUUCCCCGAGGUUGUGGACACAUGGCCUUGUCUUAUACCUCAAGGUUGUUCUAGGUCAGAGAGUCCAGGAAUAGGAGAGUUUAUUGACCAAGGAUUCCUUCUUGGAAUUGUAGUUUUAGGUGCAUUUGUUUAAUCCCUUGGUGA
rnacentral:lncRNA from 10 species